rnacentral:rRNA from 1 species
AUCCUGUAGCACUAAUUGCAGGUGUUGCCUGCCCUAUGCGCGGUAAAUGGCCGCAGAACUUUAACUGUGCUAAGGUAGCAUAAUCAUUUGUCUUUUAAAUGGGGACUGUAUGAAUGGCUUAAUGGGAUAAUGCUGUCUUAAUAAAGUUUCAUAGAAUUUAUUGAAAAGGUGAAAAUCCCUUUAAAAUAUAAAAAGACGAGAAGACCCUAAGAGUUUAAGUUAAAAGAGAGUAUAUUUUUUAGAUUUUUGUUGGGGCAACAAAGGAGUUAUCCCUCCUUUAAUAGACUAGAAAUUUAUUUUAGAAAGAAAACACUACCUUAGGGAUAACAGCACAAUCUGUAACGGGUUUGUGACCUCGAUGUUGGACUAGGAAUAGCUAUUUUCAGAAGAAAUAUGUUAAUGCUCUGUUCGAGCAAAUCUAACCU